AUGCCAAAGCCACGCGUCGGAGACAUGGCCCACGGCAAGGCACACAGGAUGCACGGGUUGAAAGAAGAAUUUGUAGAGGCGGUUCGGCGAGCGGGUAACCUUGAUGAGCAGCCUCUUCUGCUGGUCGUGCACGGUGAGAACACCGCGCCGGAUGCCGAUGUCGAACCAGCCCUCGUCGAGUUGUCCGACACUCACGACGCUGCUCGUGAGCGCCGGGAUGAAGUAGACGUCCGUGAACGCCCUGUGAUCACCCCCUUUGUCGGCGAAGACGACGGUCCCGCGCCCGUGGAUCUCCACCACGGAUUCGUCCCGAACCGCACCUUCCCGGUGAUUGAGCGGUCCAGCUCCGCGAACGUGUCGAUUGAACCAGUCAUGUGGUUCGUGGCGCCGGUGUCGAGGAACCAACCCUCACUUUGCUUGCCGCCUGCAAGCGUGGGUGUGGUCACGGCUCUCUCCUCGUUGAGGAAGACGUAG
rnacentral:rRNA from 1 species